GAGCAAAGGCGCCUGAUCAAAGUGGUGAUAAUCUUUGCAUUGAAGGUUGGCGAUAUCAAAAUCGAUCUGCAAUUCUCCGUGCCUCUCAAACUCUUUCUAUUUUGAUGAUGGCCUCGAACAAAUUGCUACACC